rnacentral:rRNA from 1 species
CCUACGGGAGGCAGCAGUGAGGAAUAUUGGUCAAUGGACGAGAGUCUGAACCAGCCAAGUAGCGUGAAGGAUGACUGCCCUAUGGGUUGUAAACUUCUUUUAUAAAGGAAUAAAACGAGGCACGUGUGCCUUUUUGCAUGUACUUUAUGAAUAAGGAUCGGCUAACUCCGUGCCAGCAGCCGCGGUAAUACGGAGGAUCCGAGCGUUAUCCGGAUUUAUUGGGUUUAAAGGGUGCGUAGAUGGGUUGUUAAGUCAGUUGUGAAAGUUUGGGGCUCAACCGUAAAAUUGCAAUUGAUACUGGCAGUCUUGAGUACAGUUGAGGUAGGCGGAAUUCGUGGUGUAGCGGUGAAAUGCUUAGAUAUCACGAAGAACCCCGAUUGCGAAGGCAGCUUACCAAACUGUGACUGACAUUGAUGCACGAAAGUGUGGGUAUCAAACAGGAUUAGAUACCCUAGUAGUC